rnacentral:lncRNA from 1 species
ACUUGAUAAACAUUAAUUCUUAAUUUGCUUCUUAUCUCAGACGUUGUGGCUUACCUAGCGUUGUCAAUUUUUCAUUUUCGCUUAAAUCCAACACUUGCAGGUUUGUCAAAUUUGCUAAUCCUAUUAAAAAAACAUAAAUUUUGUCAAUAAUAGCUAUGUCACUCUCAUCUAAAUUGUUUAAUUAAAUAAUAUGGUAAAUUUUUUCAUUUUCGCUUAAAUCCAACACUUGCAGGUUUGUCAAAUUUGCUAAUCCUAUUAAAAAAACAUAAAUUUUGUCAAUAAUAGCUAUGUCACUCUCAUCUAAAUUGUUUAAUUAAAUAAUAUGGUAAAUAUUGAAUGAAAAUUAACUGUGC